rnacentral:rRNA from 1 species
UAGUGGCGCACGGGUGAGUAACACGUAGCUAAUCUGCCCUAUGCUAAGGGACAACAGUUGGAAACGACUGCUAAUACCUUAUACUCCGCUAUCACCUAAGUGGUAUCGGGAAAGUUUUUCGGCAUAGGAUGAGGCUGCGGUCUAUCAGCUUGUUGGUGGGGUAAUGGCCUACCAAGGCUAUGACGGAUAGCUGGUCUGAGAGGAUGAUCAGCCACACUGGAACUUAGACAUGGUCCAGACUCCUACGGGAGGCAGCAGUGGGGAAUUUUACACAAUGGGCGAAAGCCUGAUGUAGCAACGCCGCGUGGAGGAUGACGGAUUUAGGUCUGUAAACUCCUUUUAUAAGGGAAGAAAUUYWUGACGGUACCUUAUGAAUAAGCACCGGCUAACUCCGUGCCAGCAGCCGCGGUAAUACGGGGGGUGCAAGCGUUACUCGGAAUCACUGGGCGUAAAGGGAGCGUAGGCGYUUCUAUUAAGUCUUGA